rnacentral:rRNA from 1 species
GACGUAGGGCGCGAGCGUUGUCCGGAUUUAUUGGGCGUAAAGAGCUCGUAGGCGGCUUGUCGCGUCGUCCGUGAAAACCUGCGGCUCAACUGCAGGCUGGCGGUCGAUACGGGCAGGCUGGAGUUCGGUAGGGGAGACUGGAAUUCCUGGUGUGAGCGGUGAAAUGACGCAGAUAUCAGGAGGAACACCGGUGGCGAAGGCGGGUCUCUGGGCCGAUGACUGACGCUGAGGAGCGAAAGCGUGGGGAGCGAACAGGAUUAGAAACCCC